AAAAAGCUUCCCUUUACCCAUACACCCUCUGUUUGAGAUUGAGUUCCACUCCAUCAAGAUCAACCCGUGAAACUCUCAGCAUCAAGAGAAGAUGGCAAUCCUAUCAAAAUCCAUGUGAAGGAUAUUGAAGAUUUUCUCUCUUGAUUUAAACAACAGGGAUUUAUACUUGCAAUUGAGAUGUUUUUUCCAACUGUGGAGCAUAGGUACUAUGUGAAGCAUAUCUACAAUAACUUCAAAGUUGAUCACAAGGGGUUGGAGUUGAAGGAUGCAUUAUGGAGAUGUGUUGGAGCCAUAACUAUUAAGGAGUUUGAGAAGAGAAUGCAAGAAUUAAAGGAUCUAGACCCUAAGGCUUGGGAGUAUCUUGCUGACAUCAACCCUGCCUAAUGGUCUAAGUCUCAUUUUACCUGCAAGGCAUCAAGUGACUGUUUAGCCAACAAUCUUAGUGAAUCAUUCAAUUCCAUGAUUUUGAAGGCUAGGGACAAGCCCAUCUUAGCAAUAUUAGAGUGGAUUAGAGUUAGGCUAAUGACCAACCUCUAUAAAAAGAGGAAAGGUAUAGAGAAGUAUGUUGGGAAAGUGUGUGCAAAUAUUCAAGACAAGUUAGAGAAGUUGAAGCUAGAGAGUAUACCUUUUUGUGCUACUCCAUCUGGUAGGUUCAUGUAUAAAGUUGAUAAUGACCGUGAAAGGCAUGUGGUUAGUUUGACAAAUAGAACAUGCAGCUGUAGGAUAUGGGAUUUAAUUGGACUGCAUUACAAACAUGGCAUUAUUGCUAUUUUUAAGAACCUAGAGAAGGUGGAAGAUUAUGUGCAUCCUUGAUACCUAAGGGAAACAUAUCUUCAAACUUACUAGGAGAUUAUUCAACCAAUGUCUGGGCAAUCAGAAUGGGUUCAAAUUGGACAUGCUGCACCUAUUGCCCCUCAUGUUUACAAGCCACUUGAUAGGCCUUCCAAGCUAAGGAAAAAAGCCCCUGACGAGCCAAGGAAUCCAUAUAGGGUAUCUAGAAUGAACAAGACUAUCAAAUGCGGGAAGUGUCAUAGAGAAGGGCACAAUUCAAGAGGUUGCAAAGCUAUCAUUACUGGUGAGACUACAUGGCAGAGGAGACAUAGGCUUCAAAAGGAUAAAGUUGAGUUAAUUCUGCAAGUAGGACCAAGAAGAAUGUUACUGAAGCAAGGCCUCAAACCACAACUCAACCUGCAUCCCAACCUGCAUAUCAACCUUUUGCCGACAUCUUUAGAUCUCAGCCUUCAUCCUCACAACCAGCUAACAGAGCUUCAACUCCAUGGUGGGUACUUUGAUCUCUCUUCAGAGAGUCGGUGGGUUUCUAUUCACUGGGAUUGGGUGAGAGAGACACUGAGAGACAUAGGGGGGGCAGCAUAGCAUAGCAGAUCUCAUUGUAUGCUACUAAAUGCCGCGUUUUCUUCUACAGGGGUCAUUCGUUGAUUGGUUAUUCCUCUUUCUUAGUGGGGUCUG